ACUUGCAAGCUGGCGCACGUGUUACAGCUGAGUUACGUCCCGCCGCCAGCACCGCUGAGUACCUGUCACCCUCCCGGCCCGGGACGCGCCUGGCUCACAGAGCACUCGCAGUCCGCGAGGUUGUUAAUCCCCCGUAAUUAACUCAUGGGAGGCCUGAUUUUCUCAGACUUCAGGAUUCAACAGAGCCUGUUCCCUGUCUCACCCGAGGUGCUCAGCACCAUGCAAGUCUGCAUCCCAAGAGGGGACUUUCCGUGAGGUUUACUCAAAGGAAGCUUGCCGACGUGCGCCCGCUCCCACUUCUCGUCUUUCCACGUACCUGUCUGUCACCAAAUCUUCAGCUUUGUAGAUUUUGAAUAAUCAGUAACAUUUUUUUUCCCUCCAAAGUGCAGGGGAAGGGGUGCCCAUGUUCUUACACUAUAUUUUGCUAAUCUUUAUCUUACAUACGAUAACAUAAUGUUAUGUUAAAGCUCUCUUUAAGUCCAGAUAAAGCAACACCUUUACGCAGGUUAAAUGAUACGUUAUAUUUGGUGUAGUUAUGCUGUGCGCUUUCUUCAGCAGUAGCUAAGCGAGACAUUCCUGCCCCUUUUCCACCCCCUCCCCGUCACCCUUUCCUGCCAUGGCCAGACUUCACCACUCUAAUUCAUAUAGAUUAAAAUGUCUAUAAGAUUGUGUUGUAACCCAGAUCAUCCAAAUUACCCUUUAAAGCAAAUUUCUUCCCUGAAGGAAACGUAUCAUCAAACUAUGCCCUGCGAAUCCCCCAACGCUGCUAACCGUCCAUCUGUGCAAGGAGGCCCCAGUCCGUACCGAGGUAGGAGAUGGCUGUUUUCUGCAGCUGAAGUUAAUGUCUUUACAGAGAAUCAGCAUGAGCUCUGUGCACUACUCAAUAACUGCUGAACCCUGAUGAUAUUAGAUUUCUUCGCUCUUAUUUUAACCAGUUAAUUAUCAUGACCGAUUUCCCUCCCGCUUCGUUGUGUGUUUAAGAGGCGCAGGAAGUAAAGGUAUCGAGAAUUCCUGCAGUUACACCACAGGCUUCUGCUAGUGAACUGCUUAAAUCUGGGCUUUAUGUCUACAUUACAUUAACAAACCUCUCGUUUGGAUACAUUGCCCUUUCCCAGGAUCUCACGUGCGGUUUUCCAUAUGCCUGAUCCACAUUCGCUGAAAUCAAAAGAAAAACUCCGGUUGGCCUCAAUGACUUUGAGGCUGUGCCCUGUGCAGGCUGAGAGAUGCUGAAAAAAUGGAAUAAUCAUUACACUAGAGAUCUAAAAGG